rnacentral:lncRNA from 1 species
CUUGGGUCAUGUAGUGACUCUCAAUAGGUGAUGGGGGGUGGGGAAGACAGCUUCGAAAGCCCACCUGGCAAAAAAUCCACACUGGGGGCGAGAGAUAAACCGGCACAUUCCCCAGACUGACCCAUUAGGCUUCUUUCAUAACUUACUGGCAAUGAGCUGAGGAAGCUGUGAGUCUGGGAGUUAUUGAUUUUCUCUCAUCAUCAAAAUUCCUGCUUUUGGUGAGGGAACCAAUGCCAAGUAAGCACAGAACCUGUCUUCUCUCUGGACCAGAGCAGCUCAUGCCCCUUCAGGUGCUCGCUUUAGAACCCUCGCAUAAGAUGGAACUUUCCUGUAUCUCUUUCAGUUUUUAGAACAACCCAUGAAGUGGCUGGGGCAAGUAGUACUAUCCACAUUUGACAGAUGAGGAAACACAGACUGAGUGAGAUUGUGGCUUGCUGGUUACACAGCUAACAAGGGACGCCUCCUUCCAAGAACCCAUGUCUUCAGACAGCAAGUCUAGCACUCCUUGAACCACAUCGCCACCUCCACGUGUUGCCAUUUGGCUCAUCAGACAAAAACACUACUUAUGGCCUGGAUCUGCCCUGAGUCUCAAGGAGAAUUCUCACAGCAACUCUAAGUUAUUUUCACAAGGCGAGCAGAAGUUCCUGCUAAUAAUUCCUGGCUCUCUCUUAAUAUUGUCUUCC